GGGUCAGUAGGUUGGUCGUGCCACCGGUACGUACUGGUCUCACUGAUUCCUCCUUCCUGAAGAACCGUAAUGCCAUUAAUUUGGUGUUGCGGGGAAACAGGACUGUUACUUUGAAAAAAUUAGAGUGUUUAAAGCAAGCUAACGCUUGAAUACAUUAGCAUGGAAUAAUGAAAUAGGACGAUCGAUCCUAUUUUGUUGGUUUCUAGGAUUGACGUAAUGGUUAAUAGGGAUAGCUGGG
rnacentral:rRNA from 1 species